rnacentral:sRNA from 4 species
CCUUAGCCCUGAUAGAAGCGGUAUCCUUUUAUUUUUUUUUCUUUAGAAAAAAUAAAAGAUACAAGUGGAUAGCAGGAAAUAGC